AAGCGUUAAUCGGAAUUACUGGGCGUAAAGCGCGCGUAGGUGGUUUGUUAAGUUGGAUGUGAAAGCCCUGGGCUCAACCUAGGAACUGCAUCCAAAACUAACUCACUAGAGUACGAUAGAGGGAGGUAGAAUUCAUAGUGUAGCGGUGGAAUGCGUAGAUAUUAUGAAGAAUACCAGUGGCGAAGGCGGCCUCCUGGAUCUGUACUGACACUAAGGUGCGAAAGCGUGGGUAGCGAACAGGAUUAGAUACCCUGGUAGUCCACGCCGUAAACGAUGACAACUAGCUGUUGGGAGACAAUGUCUUUCAGUGGCGCAGCUAACGUUUUAAGUUGUCCGCCUGGGGAGUACGGCCGCAAGGCUAAAACUCAAAUGAAUUGACGGGGACCCGCACAAGCGGUGGAGCAUGUGGUUUAAUUCGAUGCAACGCGAAAAACCUUACCUACUCUUGACAUACUUGGAAGCUCUUGUAAUGAGAGUGUGCCUUUUGGAGCCAAGAUACAGGUGCUGCAUGGCUGUCGUCAGCUCGUGUCGUGAGAUGUUCCGUUAAGUCGGAUAACGAGCGCAACCCUUACCCUUAUUUGCCAGCGAUUCGGUCGGGAACUAUAAGGGGACUGCCGGUGAUAAACCGGAGGAAGGUGAGGACGACGUCAAGUCAUCAUGGCCCUUACGAGUAGGGCUACACACGU
rnacentral:rRNA from 1 species